UCCGGGCCUGCAGAUGGGUACGGGCAGGCUAGAGUGCGGUAGGGGAGAUUGGAAUUCCUGGUGUAGCGGUGGAAUGCGCAGAUAUCAGGAGGAACACCGAUGGCGAAGGCAGAUCUCUGGGCCGCUACUGACGCUGAGGAGCGAAAGCAUGGGGAGCGAACAGGAUUAGAUACCCUGGUAGUCCAUGCCGUAAACGUUGGGAACUAGAUGUAGGGCCUGUUCCACGGGUUCUGUGUCGUAGCUAACGCAUUAAGUUCCCCGCCUGGGGAGUACGGCCGCAAGGCUAAAACUCAAAGGAAUUGACGGGGGCCCGCACAAGCGGCGGAGCAUGCGGAUUAAUUCGAUGCAACGCGAAGAACCUUACCAAGGCUUGACAUAUAGAAGAACACUGCAGAGAUGCAGGACUCUUUGGACACUUCUAUACAGGUGGUGCAUGGUUGUCGUCAGCUCGUGUCGUGAGAUGUUCGGUUAAGUCCGGCAACGAGCGCAACCCUCGUCCUAUGUUGCCAGCACGUGAUGGUGGGAACUCAUGGGAUACUGCCGUGGUCAACACGGAGGAAGGUGGGGACGACGUCAAAUCAUCAUGCCCAUUAUGUCUUGGGCUUCACGC
rnacentral:rRNA from 1 species